UACGGAGGGUGCGAGCGUUGUCCGGAAUCACUGGGCGUAAAGGGCGCGUAGGUGGCGCGAGUAGUCAACGGUGAAAGCCCGGGGCUUAACUUCGGGCUUGCGGUUGAUACGGGCGGGCUGGAGUUCGGUAGGGGAGACUGGAAUUCCUGGUGUAGCGGUGAAAUGCGCAGAUAUCAGGAGGAACACCGGUGGCGAAGGCGGGUCUCUGGGCCGAUACUGACGCUGAGGAGCGAAAGCGUGGGGAGCGAACAGG
rnacentral:rRNA from 1 species